ensembl:ncRNA lncRNA:roX1 long non-coding RNA on the X 1
UUGUAGAACAAUUACGUUCGGAGUGGAAAAUGGAAAUUAAGUGAAAUAUCCAGUGAUCGAUCGGUAAUAGUAAAUUGUUUGAUACGUUUAGGCCAGUUGGUAAGGCAAAUUAACAGCAGUUGUAAGUAAAUUUAAUCAGAGACCAGGGCACCACACCCGAAAAGCGUGCAGAUAUUAGAAGACAUGGGCGUAGUUUCAUAUACGAGCUGUCCCCUUCGGCUUUUUCGACAAGUGGCAGCCCUAAUGGCCCUCGUUUUUUCGCCGACAAGCAUUUAAUGCGUAGUCACCGAAGAAAAGUGUUAGUUACCAGGGCCUGCCCUUUUAAAAUUAAAUUUAAAUUGAAAAAAAAAAUCACCAAAAAAUCGAAAUCUCUGGCAAGAUGUAGCGUCGAAAGAAAAUUCAUCAAACGGCAUUGCCAUCAUCGUGCAGCAAUCCCAAAGAAGCCAUUUAGAAUGCAGGCAUCCAGGCAAAAACCAGAAAACGUGCCUGUGGCAGCUGCACUUCGUGGCCUUGACGAGUCCGGACAAUAGAAAAACCCUGGGAACCUAACCCAAAUGGCUUAUAGGGGUUGGACUGGACUCAGGUAGGCGAAGUCCCCGAAAACCGAGGCUACAUUCUUGCCACCGCUGCUAAAUCGAUCAUCAGUCUUUGGCGGCAUGGCUAAGUGGAAACUUCUCGUAAGAAACUCUUCCCGGAGGAGUGUGGAAUUUUUGUUAUAUUUUUUUUAAAGUGCAUUUUUUUUUAAAGGUGAAAUUAGCUAGAGUGUGUACUGCUACUGAUAGGGUGACCUAACGCAACAGCAACGAGAUGUGCUCCAUCGGGCAGUGAUAACUUCUUGGCAACCCCAACCUUAAAAAUUCGACUUCAAUUCAAUACAUGUGACCAGAUAAACACAGCUUCAAGCGCAUUACUCGCUCCAUAGAUUCAUUAAACCUUAAUGAACACAAGAAACACUCAAAAAGUAAGAGAUUCUUCGCCUGAGCUGCAAUUCUUAAGGGUGGCGUCUUCGAGGCAUCGAAGACGCGGCUAUCCGAAGUAGCGAAAGUGGUGCGAGUGGUGCAACUUGUGACACUGCCAGCGGAGUGGAUGAGCCCCAUAUAAACUGAACCUUGCAGACCUACAAAGACCCUAUGGCCCAUAAAGCCGGACAGGGUUUUCCUGUCCGAAAAGUAAUGUAACGAAAACGCUUGAGAUGGAAAAUUCUGGCCGGAACGAAAGAGACAAAUGAACCCAAAGCGUCCGCUUGUCGCCACUUGCGUUUCGAGAAGACGCGUACGCAUACCUCUAUCGGAUGCAUGUGGCGGUACGCGGAUGCGAGCGAGACAAUGAUACUGUAGACAAGGAGAGACGGCUCCCUCUCUCCAUCACUCUCUAUCGGGCUGGCCAGGCGUUUGCAUCGCAAGCGGGUGAGUGAGACGGCCAUAGGGCGGACUGCAAGUCCCGAAAGAGAGCGGUAAAGCCAUAUAACCCCUAUAAGCAAUAAACGACGCAUCGAAAGUUGCGUAUAACGGCAUGGGCAUCCCUCGGAAAGGAAAAAGUUCAGACCGCACUCACGAAUACCGCUCCGCUCUGGAAAGACCGGCCAAAUCUGUAAGAAAUGCUCGGCCAGGAGCGUAGAAUCGCCAUAAUGCAGUAAACGACUGCAAAAGCAGCUAUAACUCAAACAGAAGUUGACAAAAGCAAGAGCUAUGCGCUCUAUUAAAGUCACAAUAAGUGUCAUCGUAACGUUCACCACUUUUCACAUUUCAUCAAAGUCCAUUUCUGGUCCGUGCAAAGCAGUAAUGUAGAGAUUCUUUUUCAUUUGAAAUUGUUAGUUAUCACUGCCCUAGGAACUCAUCAAUUUUUGUGAUAGUAGUGACUGAAGUAUUUGUUUUGAGGGAAUUAGAAGCCAGAAGAUUUAGGAGCCAUGCCGCCGCUUAAGUAAGAUCUAAAAGCCAAGAAGCUACACCCAGAAGAAACUGCCACUGCAUAGAUUUUUGAAAUGAGCAAAGAAAUCUAAACUGAAAUGGUUAUCCACCAACUGAAGGCCAUCGAAUCUAUUAAGUUUUAUCCACGUUAGCACUGUUCAAAAUCUCAAGCUAGGCUACUAAACGAACUAUUCAUCACAAAAGCCUCACACAAAAUAUUCAUUCAUGAAUCAGUCUAGCCUAUUUUUUCUUCUGCUUUACCAUUUGAACAAGUACUCAGAAAUCGCUCGAAAAGGGACAUUUUGAUUUUGCUUUGAUUUUGUGCCUUAGUUUUUCAACUAACCAAAAUAUUGCUUACAGAAAUUAAUCAGUUUAUUAACUGAAAAAGCCCUUAAAUUAACUGCCAGGAGGUGAGUUUUUGUCUUCGAUUCUUGGAAAACGUUGAGUAGGGGCCCAACUAAAGGAAAUAGGCCAGACAAAGCCUGUAAAAAAAACCUAUAAAAAUAAAAAGUUCUAAAAGAGGCCACUGUGAAACUGUUAUACAAGCUGGCCUAAAGUUAUGCGUAGAAGAAAACGUAUAAAAGUGAAUAAAUGUUUGCAAACGGAUGUUUAAAACAUGCGUUUUCUAAACGAAAGAUGAAAAAUAAUAUCAAAAAGCGAAUUAAGUGCUGUUCAAUCGUUUGACCAGCAGUUGAUUUGCGAAUGGCUGAAAAUAUUCGCUUAAACUUAUGGCAAAGCUUGUUAAAAUAAAAAAUAAAAAAUUUUAAAAGAAAUAAAAAUAUCCUUACACCGGGCACCUACAAUGCGUAUCCACCCGGGAUUCAAGCAAAAGCUAUUAUUCUAUUGGCCUUGAUUAUUAACAUAUUUCUAUGCUGUGUGUUCUUUCAGAUGAGUUUUGAACAGAGACGAAACUUGGAGCCUCGCGGAGCCAAAGUUUUAAAUUGAUUUUUGUUUUUAAUUCCCUAUAUUCGAGUCGAUUUCCCGCAGUCUUUUCAUUAAUUUUCUUAAACAUUGACUGGCUAAUUCUUGAACCUCAGUUUUCAUUCAAAAGUCAUCUUUUCUUCGUUGGUCCCUGCUUGAGCUUGAAACAUUGUGCCAAGAAUUUUUUUCUGUUCAAUUGAACCUUUUCUGUGCAAAUGUCCUGCAGAAGAGGAAACCCAUUACAGACUUGUGCUUUCUCCUGAAUGUGAUAUGCAAGCAGGUGUAACAAAGCCUAUGAAAUCCGGUCCAACCCCACAUCAGGCCAUAGCCAAGAAGCUCCGCCUAAUACAAGAGAAGAUUAUACUAACCAGUUUGCUAUCUUUCAGAUCCGACCAGAAGUAGAUCGUGUUCUGUGAACUAACCCCUUCAGUGUUCAGCACCUCGUCAAUUGUUCUUAAUUGUUCCUUUUAUUUUAUGUUGUGUUUUAUCUAAUUAACUUCCGUUGUAUUUUACCCAGUCCCCUUCCUUGACUUUCUAAUAAUUUUCCAUGUUUUGACAGAUCCUUUUUUGUCCCACCCGAAUAACCAACCAUACUAUUCUUAUAUAAGGUUCGUGUUUCGGAAAACGCAUUAAAAGGCGUAAUUUUAAAUCGUUUUCCGAAAUGGGAAUCACAUUUAAACAAUAUUUUGAACUGCGUAAAACGAAUAAAUGGAACGGUAUUGAAAGCCUAUGCAUUCAUUACGGUUCAAGAAGUAUAACUAAAAAAAAGGAAUGAAAAAAAAAGAAAAGAAAAACACAUUUACUAACAAAUAAAAACUUGCUGAUCAACGUUCUACGCAGUUCUUAAAAAGAUGUUGAAAUGAACACAGCCAAAGCAAGUAAAAAUGUGUGGAAACGUUAUACGAAUCUUCACCAAGUGCCCAAACUAUAAAAAGAAAAUUGAAAUCGUUAUACGCCUGAGCCGAUUCACAAAGAAACAAAAUAUGUUUAUACUGCGGAGCACAAUAAAGCGAAUGUUAUGUGGAUUUCUUUGGGAAUCGGCAUGGGAUUCAACGUGAAGCUAGAAAAUUUUUGAACUGCUAAAUUAAACGAAACUUGAAUGAUGUUAAAAAUGGUCUUUAUUAUGGUUGGGAAAAUGUGCUUUCGGCUAAUUUUAAAUAGUUGCAGCAACAAACAUGGAAAUCCAUAAUUCUCUUUAAAAAAACGCACGAAAUUGACCAGCAGGAAUCGGCUGGCAAACGACCUGAGCAAUACUCGCCCACCAAAGAGGCUUGACAGAAGACAACCGAGGGACCUCAUUCUCCGCUCAUAAAACACUGAUGCCAUUAUUAUAUACAGUUCGAUAGGAAAUUUUGUUACGAAUUCAACGAGGUAUGGCAUUUCCCUUUUGGUCAACUAUUUUUUAUGCUAUUGAGAAAAUACUGAUUCUUUUUAACCAAAAAUAAACAAAAUAAGAAUUGCCAAAAAUUUGAUAUUUACAAACGGGGUUAUCUCUAUAAGGUGGCCAAAAAAGAUAUUACCGCUUAAAUGAAGACUGUUUUAUACUGCCAAUAAACAUACCUAACUAUCCCUAUCACUAUUUUUAUAAAUAUC